rnacentral:rRNA from 1 species
UUCCUACGGGGGGCAGCAGUGGGGGAUAUUGCACAAUGGGGGGAACCCUGAUGCAGCGACGCCGCGUGGGUGAAGAAGCGCCUCGGCGCGUAAAGCCCUGUCAGCAGGGAAGAAAAUGACGGUACCUGAAGAAGAAGCCCCGGCUAACUACGUGCCAGCAGCCGCGGUAAUACGUAGGUGGCAAGCGUUGUCCGGAUUUACUGGGUGUAAAGGGCGUGCAGCCGGGAGUGCAAGUCAGAUGUGAAAUCCCGCGGCUCAACCGCGGAACUGCAUUUGAAACUGUGCUUCUUGAGUGCUGGAGAGGG